rnacentral:ncRNA from 1 species
CUGUUGAGCUUGACUCUAGCCAAGCACAGGCCUCUGUGACUAUAUCGUAGCGAGGUGGGAGAAAUGUGUGAGACCACUGACAUAGUCGGCGGGGGCACUCGCAAAGCUUGGUGGGGAGUUUGGCUGGGGCGGCACGACUACUAAAACAUAACGUAGACGUCCAAAGGUAAGCUCCGAGGGGAUGGAAACCACUCCGAGAGUAUAAGGGCAAAAGCUUGCUUUAGUUAUUAAUGUAAAUUAAUAAUACUGGAAACAGGGGCCUAGAGAUCCUCUAUGAAACUAAGCAUAGAGGUGACGGAAAAGUUACCACAGGGAUAACUGGCUUGUGGCGGCCGAGCGUCCAUAGCGACGCCGCUUUUUGAUUCUUCGAUGUCGGCUCUUCCGAGCAUGGUGGAGUAUCAGCCACCAAGUGUGUGAUUGUUCACCAACUAACAGGGAACGUGAGCUGGGUUUAGACCGUCGCGAGACAGGUUAGUUUUACCCUACUGCAUCGCGUCCGAGAGUAGGUCGGGGCAGUACGAGAGGAAGUGCCGAUCAGAACCGCUGGUGAUACUUUCGUCUGUUAAGGCGCGAAGUGUAGCUACGUUCUUCUUAUAAUAGCUGAAAGCCUCUAAGCUAGAAUGAGUACUUAAGGACGCAAAGAUAUGAAGACUACAUAUGUAAGGAUGAGGGUUGUACGAUAUAAGCUUCUGCGAGUAUUUCAGACCACUUAUUUCCUUUUUUAGAACAUGCUUGCUCGGAUACAUACAGGAAUUCCGGGGAAAGGAAAAAUUUAUUUUAUCUGCACGGUCGGGUCUCUCCUGCGCUGCGCCACUGCGCGGCGAUCGCGCAUGCGAGACCCGU